rnacentral:misc_RNA from 1 species
GCCAACCUUCGCAUCGUCAUCAUCAGUACACACUUCUGCAGCUUCACACCCUUGAACGAAUGCCUUGAGAAAGUGAACAUCUUGAGCAAUGUAAUGGCGGAAAGUAUCAAUAUUCAGAGUCCCAGAAGCCAAGCAAACGACGAAAGGAGUGUAAAGUGCAAAAGUAGACUCUUUCUUAGAAUUGAUCCAACACCUCCUCGCUACACCCACACUUUCAUCAAUCGGCGACGCCAUUGUAGGAGGAGUAAUCGCAGAUCUCAAAUAGUGAGAGGGACGACAGUAGAAUCGGAAUAUCGAUUUGGAAUGGAAGAAAUUGAAUACUGGAUUUGGA